rnacentral:miRNA from 10 species
AAGUAUUAGGUUGGUGCAAAAGUAAUUGUGUUUUUUGCCAUUGAAAGUAAUAGCAAAACCCACUAUUACUUUUGCAACAACCUAAUAGAA